rnacentral:rRNA from 1 species
AGGCGUGGCUUCCGGAGCUAACGCGUUAAGUCGACCGCCUGGGGAGUACGGCCGCAAGGUUAAAACUCAAAUGAAUUGACGGGGGCCCGCACAAGCGGUGGAGCAUGUGGUUUAAUUCGAUGCAACGCGAAGAACCUUACCUACUCUUGACAUCCAGAGAACUUUCCAGAGAUGGAUUGGUGCCUUCGGGAACUCUGAGACAGGUGCUGCAUGGCUGUCGUCAGCUCGUGUUGUGAAAUGUUGGGUUAAGUCCCGCAACGAGCGCAACCCUUAUCCUUUGUUGCCAGCGGUCCGGCCGGGAACUCAAAGGAGACUGCCAGUGAUAAACUGGAGGAAGGUGGGGAUGACGUCAAGUCAUCAUGGCCCUUACGAGUAGGGCUACACACGUGCUACAAUGGCGCAUACAAAGAGAAGCGAACUCGCGAGAGCAAGCGGACCUCAUAAAGUGCGUCGUAGUCCGGAUUGGAGUCUGCAACUCGACUCCAUGAAGUCGGAAUCGCUAGUAAUCGUAGAUCAGAAUGCUACGGUGAAUACGUUCCCGGGCCUUGUACACACCGCCCGUCACACCAUGGGAGUGGGUUGCAAAAG